GUCAACUGGACCUCUUUCGGGCGGAAAAUAGCCCAUAACUGAAAUUAAAACAACAAAAUUCAUUGCCUGUUUCAUUUCCUUUUAAUAUAAACAUAAUUUCCAUAAAUACGAAGAAAAGAAGUUCCAUAAAAAAAAGAAGGAAAUUCUCAAAGGUUGUGCAAAGACAAAGAGGAAAAGAGAUGAGGAUUUUUGGGAAGCACAUAUUUCCAAGACAAAUUAUACUCUUCUCUUCUGGGGUAUUGUUCUUGGCCUCAACAACAUAUGACGUGCACAGAUCCAUAAAGAACAACGAAACACCACCGUCUGAAGAGCAAAUUCAAGCACUUGAAGAUUACAUAAACGCUGUUCGUCGUCCUUCUUAGACUAUCGCUCCAUAUUAUGCCACGUUUACUGUUAUGUACUUAAGACCGGUCCAUAUUACGCCACGUAUCUUGUUAUUACCUAAUUAAUUUAUGAAAAGGGAUAUUGUAAUUUA